GUCCUGCCAAAUCAGAAAAAUAAAUAAAAAUAGACGUAGUGCAGGAGCGAGUUACAAGAAAGGUUUUGUUCAUCGAUUUUCUUAAAUGGAAAAGUUUUAAAGGAUGAGGGUAAGUGAACGGCGAGCUUUUCUGAUUCUGAUUACUGUUAUCAAGAGGUAGAUUCCAGAAGCGAUGGACGCUCUACGUAGUUAGAUGAAUUGGAUAGAAGCCGGUGCGGUUAAAAAUACACUUGGAAGAUAAGAACACAGCUAUUAAUUACGCACAUACACACGUUAAUAAAGCAUGUGAAGUAAGCAAAUAAACUACAGUGCAGAGAAUGGCGUUUUUAACGACGGCGAUCUAUUUUAAAACUUAAUGAAGUUCACAUUUUGUGGACUGGUCUUAGAAAUAAGUAAACUUCAGAAAUAACACGCAUACAAUUCCAGUGAGAACCCAAAAGGUUUAUGGAAGAAGAAAAUCGCAACCACUUCCAAGGCGCUAUUGUUAUGAUCACAUGAAGAAUGGCAGGCACAGCCUUCUUUCACCACUUGAACUUUCAAUAGCUACAAAGUCUUGCAGUUACAGGCUUGUGCCAACUCGUCGGGCCACACCACGUUCCCCUCCCCCUGCCGCUGCGCCCCGAAAUCAACUGCGCGCCGCGGCUCUUGCUCCCCAAGGGGGCUUCGCAGAUGGUACGGAUCCUAGUCGCAACCUUUAAACAAAGUAACAUCGGGCGGCCCAGCAGUUCUCGGAGAGAUAUUUACUAGUCAUGGAGUUGGCUGAGAAAAGCAAGUGCGGAGAUCGGGGUCUCAGUCCCACUUAGGCCGAGUUUCUUUAUAUUGGAAACUGUACCUGUUCCCUAAUUGGGACUAAGACCACUAAUAAGUCCACGUUCCCUCUUUGGUCGCUUCUCUAAGUACAGACAUCUGCUUAAGAGGCUUCACGAAGAAUAAAUGCACAUGGGUCAACACCCAUUCCCCCCGCACCACUACCACCACCUGGAAAAGCAGGGAGGAAAGUCCAUGUGAAGACACAGUGAGAAGGCAAGAAGGCAUCCAUCUGCAAGUCAGGAAAAGAGCCCUCAUCAGAAACCAAAUGUUGUGAGAACUUGAUCUUGGACUUCCCAGCCUCCAGAACUGUGAGAAAAUUAAUUUAUGUUGUCUAAGCCACACAGUCUGUAGUAUACUGUUAUGGCAGCCUGAGCAGAUUAUGACAGAUGUCAAAGAGAACUUCAGCCUUAGCUGAUAUGUUAGCUGUAAUCUUUUAAUGUUUUAGAAUGAGAGUGUAUGUAUGUAUUACUCAUGUGACUAAAACAUUAACUUUUUAAAGUCAACUUUGUCUUCCCUCUUGCCCCAUAACCAUGCUUUUCCCCUUUAUCUUCCUUUGAACAAUAUUAAUUAAGGCCUGUUGCAGACAUAUGCAUUCUGAGCCUUCCAACAAAAUUUUUCAAAAAGACCUCUCUUCAGGUCAGAGUCCCUGAAAAUAAAUCUUCUCACCACAGAACUCAGGGGUGUGUUUAUUUAUUUUUGUUUAAUAAAAUAUUUAUUGAACUUUUAUUGAAGUUCAAUUAACUUUAUUUAUUAUAAAACAAUAUUAUACUGAUAUUGUCAGAAAUUUAAAGACAAGACAAUAUCCUCAUCACCCCUGCACUGGAAACACUGACCUGAUUUCUAUUUUUAGGUGUUACUUUCUGGGCU
ensembl:lncRNA SEMA6A-AS2 SEMA6A antisense RNA 2